GACGAACGCUGGCGGCGUGCUUAACACAUGCAAGUCGAACGGAAAGGCCCUGCUUGCAGGGUACUCGAGUGGCGAACGGGUGAGUAACACGUGGGUGAUCUGCCCUCCACUUCGGGAUAAGCCUGGGCAACUGGGUCUAAUACCGGAUAGGAGACAUUUUUAGUGUGAUGGUUGGAAAGUUUUUUCGGUGUAGGAUGAGUUCGCGGCCUAUCGGCUUGUUGGUGGGGUAAUGGCCUACCAAGGCGGCGACGGGUAGCCGGCCUGAGAGGGUGGACGGCCACCUUGGGACUGAGAGACGGCCCAGACUCCUACGGGAGGCAGCAGUGGGGAAUAUUGCACAAUGGGCGCAAGCCUGAUGCAGCGACGCCGCGUGGGGGAUGACGGCCUUCGGGUUGUAAACUCCUUUCGCUAGGGACGAAGCUUUUUGUGACGGUACCUAGAUAAGAAGCACCGGCUAACUACGUG
rnacentral:rRNA from 1 species